GCGGCCGUGACCCUGCUGGAGUGCGGGGGGGACCUCCAGCCCCCCGGGGGGUCCCUGCGCCUCCUCUGCCACGGGGCCGGGUUCGAUUUUGGGGAUUUUGGGAUGGGCUGGAUGCGCCAGAGAGCCGGGCAGGGUUUGGAGUUUGUGGCGAGUGUCACCGGUGACGGCGCCACUCCCAGAUACGCGCCGUCGGUCAAGGGCCGGUUCACGAUCUCCAGGGACAACGGGCAGAGCUCGGUGACGCUGACCAUGAACAACCUCAAGGACGAGGAUUCCGCCGUUUAUUUCUGUGUCAAACUUUGCAAUGGUUACGCUGGCAAUGCUAUUGACGCUGGUUUUGGCGUGACUUCUGUGCCCACCAUCUUUGCCUCAACUGUGGACUUUCCCCCAGUUUUGCCCAUUUCACCCAAAUCUCCCCCAGCUCCCCGGGCCCUGAUUGGAGGAGGCCUGACCUGGAGGCCAGGGGUGAAGAUUGUGAACCGGCCCCUGACUGAAUCCGCGUAG